ACUUUUCAUACGUGGUUUUGUUAUAACUGUCCAUAUCGUCGAAAGAAGACGAAGGUUUCAAGUUAAAGAAACCGCUGAGAACAUGGAGAACAAUGGUUGC